GCAGAGAGGGCUAGAGAGAUGGAAGCAAAUGCAUUUGGGUGGAACCUGUAUAGGGAUUCACUUGGGAGGCGUGCUCUUUGCCUUCUGCUUUCUUCUUCCUGCCUGGAAUGUGGUCACAAUGGCUGGAUCUCCAGUGGCCUAUUAGUGAUACGGCUCCGAUGGGUGGAGGAACACCAGGUUCUUGUCUUGUGCAAUUUAGAUAAAACGACAUGGGGCACAUGUAGAAUGGCUAUAAAGAGCGGGGAGUUUAAUAGGCAAGAAAGAAAAGGCAGAAGGAAGAGGCUCCCUCAUACGGAGACAGAGGGAGGGGGACUCCAAAGCCUAAAGAGGAAACCCCAAGUGCCACGGAUACCAGCCAGUUUUAUGUAGAGACCGUAGGAGGUGGCGUCUGAUUUGCACAGGGCUCAGGUCAUUGGUUUGACCAGGCAUGUCAUUCACAUGGCCUGUGAAAAAGCUGACCCUCCCACCCUAGCCUUUUAAUAUGCAAAUGCAGAGCGCCAUGAUGUUCUACACACGUGGGGAUCUGUGGGGGCGGUCAUGUUGCCAGGCACAUGUGGGGGCAAGGGCAAGAGGACACCGUGAGAACUGCCAUGUUAGGUGGACCCAGUUUCUAAUAUCCUCCAUUUGCAUAUCAAAGGUUGCCACCCUGCUAUCCUUCUAGACAAGAAAUGUUUUUGGAGCUGCUUUAAAAGAAAUGAAAACUUUUCCUAUCUGCCUAAAAUAAUUUCUUAAUAACUCCUACCACAUUAGUGAGGGACGAGAGAGACCCUCUCAUAUUGUUUUAUAUUGUUUUAUACUCAGAAAAAGAAAGAGAAGCAAAACUAAAGGCAGGUAGCCCGGUGCCUAGGAACCAGACCUGAAACCAGGCCUGGGCCUGCCUGACCUAAGCCUGGUAGUUAAAAUUCAACCCCUGACCUAGCAACUGAUGUUAUCUAUAGAUUCCAGACAUUGUAUGGAAGGACAUUGUGAAACCUCCCGUUCUGUUCUGUUUCACUCUGACCACCGGUGCUCGCAGCCCCUGUCACGUACCCCCUGGCUUGCUCAAUCGAUCACGACCCUCUCACGCGGACCCCCUUAGAGUUGUGAGCCCUUAAAAGGGACAGAAGUUGAGCACCCAAGGAGCUCGGAUUUUAAGACGCUAGCCUGCCCAUGCUCCCAGCUGAUUAAAGCCACUCCCUUCACUAUCUCAGUGUCUGAGGGAUUUUGUCCGCGGCUCGUCCUGCUACAUUAGGACCAUGAGGUCACCUUGAUGGCAAAUAUUGAGAAACUGAAUAUACAAAUGAACAAUGGUCAGACCUCAUAUAAAAACAGAACCCCGAAUUAUAAUCUGUGCAACCAGCUCAGGAAACCAACCUGUGAUCCCCUGUAACCAGCCCCGGGAGCCAGCCUUCUCUCUCUAAGUCAGCUCUGUAGUAAGCCUGUUACCACAGGUAACUGGUCAGGGAAGCCAAACAAUGACCCCUCUAACAAUUGGUCCAAACUGCCCAGGAUUUGAUUAAUAACUGUCAGCUUCCCUCAUUUUUGUCCCUGCUUCCAAUUUUGGACUAACUAGAGAAAGUCAAAUAUGCACCCCUAGGAUGUCCGCUCCCACGAGCCUGCCCAGCUUCCUUUUGAAAAAGGCCUCAUCCGGGCACCCCGGGGUCUGUCGUCCAUCACCAAGCUUCCCCCAUGCCUUCCCUGAGUCUCUGCCAAAGGCAGGUGGUGGAGGUGGCCCCCUCACUAGAGCCAGCUCGGAAUACACGGCGCGUGCUUGGUCUUAGGCAGGUGGUCUUUGCUUGUUUCCACAAUGCCACAUAUUAAGGAAACUGACGCAGAAACAUAAAAGGACUUGAAACGCUGACAAAUGGGAAAGCUGCUCCACCAGCCAAGACUGUACUGGGGAAGCAGAAUUAGAAACAAAGCCUCCUCCCAACCCAAGAAAACCUCUCCACAAAGCAGAAGAGGAAGGAAGCCAUUGCAUUAUCAAAGAAGCAUUUAACGAGAAUGUAAUGUGCAUCCCAGGAAUCCACUCAAAGGAUUGGAAAGACAGUAGGAAUCUCACGCCUUUGUAUAGCAAAGUGGAUUAGAUACUGUCAGGCUUCUGAGCCCAAGCUAAGCCAUCAUAUACCCUGUGACCUGCACGUAUACAUCCAGAUGGCCUGAAGUAACUGAAGAAUCACAAAAGAAGUGAUAUUUAAAUUGCCUGUUCCUGCCUUAACUGAUGACAUUCCACCACAAAAGAAGUGAAAAUGGCCAGUCCUUGCCUUAACUGAUGACAUUACCUUGUGAAAUUCCUUCUCCUGGCUCAUCCUGGCUCAAAAAGCUCCCCCAUUGAGCACCUUGUGACCCCCACUCCUGCCCGCCAGAGAAUAACCCCCCUUCUUCCUUUACCUACCCAAAUCUUAUAAAAUGGCCCCACCCCUAUCUCCCUUGGCUGACUCUCUUUUCGGACUCAGCCUGCCUGCACCCAGGUGAAAUAAACAGCCUUGUUCCUCAUACAAAGCCUGUUUGGUGGACUCUUCACACAGAUGCGAGUGAAAUUUGGUGCCAUGACUCGGACUGAGGGACCUCCCUUGGGAGAUCAAUCUCAUCCUCCUGCUCUUUGCACCAUGAGAAAGAUCCACCUACGACCUCAGGUCCUCAGACCAACCAGACCAAGGAACAUCACACCAAUUUUAAAUCAGGUUGAGGAUGCGCACCUGUGACAGACUCAGGAGGUCCUGACGACACGUGCCCAAGGUGGUCAGAGCACAGUUUGGUUUUUAUACAUUCUAGGGGGACAUGAGACAUCAAUCAACAUACGCAAGAUGAACAUUGGUUCGGUCUGGAAAGGCGGGACUACUCAGAGCAAAAGCAGGAGGACUGGAAGCCAGGGGAGGGGGCUUCCAGGCCACCUAUAGAUAAGAGACAAAAGGUUGUUUUCUUCUGAGAUUCUGACUUGCCUCUCCAAAGGAGGCGUUCAGAUAUGCAUCUGUGUCAGUGAGUAGAGGGAUGACUUUGAAUAAAAUGAGAGGCAGGUUGGCCCUAAGCAGUACCCUGCUUGACUUUUCUCUUUAGCUUAGUGAUUUGGGGGCCCCAAGAUUUAUUUUCCUUUCACAAUAGGUUAAAAAUAAAAGGAUGAGAAAAGAUAUGUUGUGCACACACACACUAUAAAAUCAGCUGGAACGCAAUAUUCAUAUUAAACAAAGCUUGGUACAAGAAAUGUUACCAGUGUGAAAGUUGUCAGAAUCAAAAUGGAAUCUCUUGUGUUAAAAACAAAAACAAAAACCAAAAACCUUGUGACCGG
rnacentral:lncRNA from 1 species